UACGUAGGGGGCGAGCGUUGUCCGGAUUUAUUGGGCGUAAAGAGCGUGUAGGCGGCCAGGUAGGUCCGUUGUGAAAACUCGAGGCUCAACCUCGAGACGUCGAUGGAAACCAUCUGGCUAGAGUCCGGAAGAGGAGAGUGGAAUUCCUGGUGUAGCGGUGAAAUGCGCAGAUAUCAGGAAGAACACCCGUGGCGAAGGCGGCUCUCUGGGACGGUACUGACGCUGAGACGCGAAAAGCGUGGGGAGCGAACAGG
rnacentral:rRNA from 1 species